AUUGAACGCUGGCGGCAUGCUUUACACAUGCAAGUCGAACGGCAGCGCGGGCUUCGGCCUUGCGUCGAGUGGCGAACGGGUGAGUAAUGCAUCGGAACGUGCCCCGUAGUGGGGGAUAGCCCGGCGAAAGCCGGAUUAAUACCGCAUACGACCUGAGGGUGAAAGCGGGGGACCGAAAGGCCUCGCGCUAUUGGAGCCGCCGAUGUCGGAUUAGCUUGUUGGUGGGGGAAAGGCUUAGCAAGGCGACGAUCCGUAGCUGGUCUUAGAGGACGAACAGCCACACUGGGACUGAGAAACGGCCCAGACUCCCACGGGAAGCAGCAGGUGGGAAUUUUUGACAAUGGGGGCAACCCCGAUCCAGCCAUGCCGCGUGCGGGAAGAAGGCCUUCGGGUUGUAAACCGCUUUUGUUCGGGAAGAAAUCCUCUGGGCUAAUACCCCGGGGGGAUGACGGUACCGGAAGAAUAAGCACCGGCUAACUACGGG
rnacentral:rRNA from 1 species